rnacentral:rRNA from 1 species
GCGUACGGCCAUACUAUGGGGAAUACACCUGAUCCCGUCCGAUUUCAGAAGUUAAGCCUCAUCAGGCAUCCUAAGUACUAGGGUGGGCGACCACCUGGGAACCGGAUGUGCUGUACGCU